ACCCCUCAAUUUCUUUUAAAAUUUAUUUUAUUAUAUCAUUUUGUGUGUGGGCGGGUGUUACCUGUUAGAUAUCUGUGCAGUACAUGUGUGCAAUGACUCCAGGGUCAUAAAAGGGUAUCAGAUCCUUUGGGACUAUUGUUACAAAUGGUUAUGAACUACCAGGGAUUAAACUUAGGUCCUCUGCAAGAGCAUCCAGUGCUCUUAACCACCCAGCUAUUGCUCCAACUCUCAGAAUUUAAUCUGUUUUUAAAAGAUGUGUUUGUCUAUUUGUUUAUUUAAUGUAAUAAUAAGUACACUGUACUUAUUUAUUUUAUGUAAUGUAAUAAUAAGUACACUGUAGCUGUUUUCAGACACACCAGAAGAAGGCAUCAGAUCCCAUUACAGAUGGUUAUGAACCACCAUGUUGUUGCUGGGAAUUGAAAUCAUGACCUCUGGAAAAGUAGCCAGUGCUCUUAACUGCUGAGCCAUCUCUCCAGACCCAAACUCAAUUUCUUAAUAAAAUUAUAUCUAAAGUUAGUUUUACUAGAACAUUUUUAUUGUGCACAAGUAUAAUAGUAAAGUGCGAUGAUUGUGGUCUCUCUCUUUUUUAAAGAUUUAUUUAUUUUUAUGUAUGUGUGUACCCUAUCACUCUCUUUAGACACACCAGAAGAGGACAUCGAAUCCUAUUACAGAUGGUUGUGGAGUAAGCUGCAGAAGUACAAAUUCCCCUUCAACGUCUGUGGUUUAGAAGGGAAUCAGGUCAGACCAGCAGGAACAUCUUGUCACAUUUACCCUUGAUAUGAUUUCUCCAAACUUAACCUGUAUAUUUAUUAAAAUUCCAAUAAAUUACUUUUUUUAAGUUGGCAAACUAAUUUAAAAAUAUUUUCAGGAGGGACUGGAGUCAACAGUUAAUAGUACUGUUGCUCUUUCAGAGGACCAGGUUCAGUUCCCAGCACCUACAUGGUUCACAGCCAACUCUAUGUAGUUCCAGGGGAUCCAAUGGCAUUCAUAUGUGCAUGCAGGAAACACAUUAGCAUAAUUUUUAAAGUACUCAGGAGAUAUAUCGGGAGGACAGUAAAAAUCAUCUUUAAACAAGAACAACAUCUUUAAGCAGAACAACCCAAAGAGUUUUAUACCUUUAAUCUCCCAAGAAGCAGGUGGAUCCCUCUCAAACAAAACAAAAGACAGUUCUAAGACUGCAGCUGACAGGGCCUAGGAAUUGUGCCUGCCACUGUUUUCCUGUUUUGUCUUGUUUUAAUUUUUGAUUUUUUGUUCUUAGGUAAUGUUUUUGGUUUGUGUUUUGUUUUGAAACUGUCUCUCUAGUAGUCCUGGGUGUCCUGGAACUCACUAUAUAGACAGGCUUGCCUCAAAUUCACAGAGGUCUGCCUGCCUCUGCCUCCCAAGUGCUGGAAUGAAAAGCUUAUACCACAGGGGCUGGGGGCUGGGGACUUAGCUCAGCGGUAGAGCGCUUGCCUAGCAAACGCAAGGCCCCGGGUUCGGUCCCCAGCUCCGAAAAAAAGAACCAAAAAAAAAAAGCUUAUACCAUUAUGUCCUGCUUUGCAGUGUUUUGUUGUUUUUUUUUUUUUUAAAGACUUAUUUAUUUUAUAUAUAUGAGUACACUGUUGCUGUCUUCAGACACCAGAAGGGGGCAUCCGAGCCCAUUACAGAUGGUUGUGAGCCACCAUGUUGUGGCUAGAAAUUGAACUCAGGGCCUCUGGAAGAGCAGUCAGUGCUCUUAACCACUGAGCUAGCUCUUCAGCCCUUGCCACUGGUUUUUUAAAGAAACUUGGUCAGAAGGCCAAGGAAAAAGCAGUUGGGGGGGGUGUUAGUAAGGGAGAUAUUCUUGAUUUGGGAGCAUUUUCAGGAAUAUUAGAUUUAAUACUCUGGCAAGAAUCCUGGAAGAUAGUGCCAACUUUUUUCUAGGAUGACCUCUGGAAGGCAGAGAAUGCUGUCCAUGUUAACUGCUGUUGGAAUGCUAGACCUGCCAUGACCAUAGAAUAAAGGCUUAACAGGCCUGCCCAGAAAAUUAAGCAUACUAAAUGGAUGUACUAUGUAAAGUGACAGGCUCUCCCUCAGAAAGGGCAGUAGAAACUAUCCUAAUAAAAGGACAUUUGUCUCUCUCUCCAAAAAGCUCACUUCUUGCAGCUCACUUAUGCAGGCCAAAGCUGGUGAUAGGAGAGGUCAUGCAGGCUUCCUGGUAGGAACAGCAACAGUAGGACUAUAUUAAUAUAGUUUGUGACAACACUUAAUGACCACAUGAUUUCAGUCAUAAUGUGUGUCAAGUUCAGGGGGCAGGCAGGUGUUGCUUUUGUGCAACUUCAUAAAAAAGUGAUUAGACAUGGUUCCUUGAUGGUUAACGUUUAAAAUUGAACACUGGGCUGUGCGUUGGUGGUACAUACCUUUAGAACCAGCACUUGAGAAGCAGAGGCAGGAGGAUCUAUUUGUUUUUCUAGGUUUUGGGGUGGCUUAUUUAAUGUGUCAACUUUGCUGAGCCCAUGACAUUACUGAUUAUUCUAGAAGUGCAUGUGCAAGUAUACUUGGAGGAUAUUAACUUUUCUUUUCCUAUUUUAUGGAUCUCUACAUAGCCCUGACCUUUUGGAACUCACUAUAUAGACUAGGCUCACAUAGCUCUGCCUGCCUCUUCCUCCGAGUGCUGGGCUUAAAGGCAUGUGCCACCACGCCAGCAGCAGAGGUUAACAUUUAAAAGUGUAGACUUUGAGUAAAGCAUCUCAGCCUUCAUAACGUGGGUCAGUGUCAUCUAAUCAAUUGAAGGGCUAAAUAGAAGGAAGAAGCUGGUCUGCUCUGAGCAACAUGGAAUCCUCCAGAAGACUGCCUUUAACAUCAUUGUCAGUAUUGACCGUUUUCACUGUUUCUGGGCAGACAGAUGGCCUUUGAAGUCCAACUGCAGCAGUGGUUCUUUUGAGUCUCCAGCCUGAAUAUUUUGGAACUGACAGUCUCCACAAGAGAGGUUCAAAUUGGCGGUGUAACAAAUACAACACAAUAAUAUCUUCACCUAUUAGCUUAAUAUUGAUUCUGUUUCUUUGAGUAACCCUGGUUUACUAAUGUCCUGGUUGUAAAAUAGGAAGCUAGCCAAAUGGUUUGUUUUAUACAGUCAAAAGAAAUGAAGACUGUGUGAUCAGGAAUAUGCUUUCAGCUUUCUGUAUCCAUAACAAAACAUUUGACUAAUUAACUUGUUAAACUGUUUAUUUCGGUCCAUAGUUUUGAAGACUUCUGUCAUAGUCUUCAUUAUUUUAAACCAGGUACCAUUAAAAUAUAGAUCAAGUUUAUACCAUACUUCACUUUUCUUGUCAUUUUGGAAAAAAUACCAAGAGAUGGUGACAGAAAAACAUGUAUCCUCCCAUGGAAUGUAUAUACUAAAGCGAAAUAUGUGGAACUCACAUUUAAAAGGCAUAAUUCAAUACCAUAACCAUGUUAGUAGUCAUUGAAUGGCACAGUUACAACAGUAUGUUAGGCACUAUUUUAAUAGAGACAAAAUUUUUACCAAGAGAGAUAGCAAGGUACAUUUGUUUGUAAUGAAUCUUUAAAGGACUCUUUCUUUCUUUACCAUCACUGUGUGCAGCAAGUGAUCGAGAGUGUGUUGUGAUUGAUCGGAUUGCCACGGCUCAGGGCUCUGGUCUAGUUAGAGAAGUAUGGUCUGCUGUUAUAGAAGUGUCGGAUCGCAUAGCACUUCAUCCAUGUUCAAAAGAAUAGUAUUGUCCCUUAGUUCACAGGUGAAGAUUGGUUGCCCAGGAAAACAUUGGUGCAAGCAUUUGAGGUUCAUUAAGGUCCUGAAGCAUGAAUGUAUCAACUGUGAGAUUUGUAAGAGUAGCUUUGUUUGGGCGUCUGUUUUACUGUUGACUGAGAAGGGAUUUUGCUCUAUAGCAGUGACCCUGCUGUCUCUGGAUGAUAGCAGUGCAACACCACACCUGGCCCUGUUACUUUACUAUUUUAAAGUACAAAAGAUCAACUCUGAGUGAUUUCCCCCUAGAGGUGAUGAUGUUCCCUUUGCUUUUCCAACUUAAGUCCUUCUGGGCAACUAUGAGGAAACCAUAUGGAUCCAAAUGGAUCUUUAGUCUUGCUUAUAUCCUUUUUAUUUGAUCAGAUCUAAGGAAUUAUGCAAAUUCAGAGCACUCUGAAGUUUUGGAAGUUCUUGGAAGUUCUGCUCUUCAUUAAACUAAGGGCCAUAAAAAAACAAACAUCAUUCUUAAAAUGCAUUUUUUUUAAAAAGAUUUAUUUUAUUUAUAGAUGGUUGUGAACCACCAUGUGGUUACUAGGAAUUGAACUCAGGACCUCUGGAAGAGCAGUCAGUGCUCUUAACCACUUAGCCAUCUCUCCAGCCCCUUAAAAUGUUUUCACUAAUCCAGAUUCUGUUUUUCAGUGGUGUAAAGAAAACUCAUGAAGUACUUCAGGUUUCCAGGCUCAGAAACUCUCUUUUACUUGCUCCUAUGAAGAUGCAGAAAACAUAAACGUCACCUUGAAAAGCAUCCUGACCACUUGAACAUUGUGUCUAAGCUUACACAUAGUAACCAUCACAUCAUUACAUGUUCUCAGAGUGUUAGCACUGAGGGUGAGCAGUGUCAACCAGGCACACAUUUCUUGUACACCAAGUAGAUUUUUGUUCAUUCAUAAAAUUAUAAUAUUUGGUAAUUAGCUACAUCUAUUGGUAUUAAAUUUAUAUAAUAUUAAAUAAAUUUAAAUGUAAUAUUAAUAUAAAGUAAGGAAUGUCUAUUUUUUAAAAGAUUUAUUUAUUUAUUUUAUGUAUAUGAGUACACUGUCACUGUCUUCAGACACACCAGAAGAGGGCAUUGGCUCCCAAUACAGAUGGGUGUGAGCCACCAUGUAGUUGCUGGGAAUUGAACUCAGAACCUCUGGAAGAGCAGCCAGUGCUUUUAAUCGCUGAGCUAUCUCUCCAGCCCAAGGUAUGUCUAUUUUUAAAGACAGGGUCUCACCAUGUAACUCUGGCCAACAUGAAACUUGCUCUGUAGACCAGGCUGGCUUCAAAUUCAGAGAGAUCUGCCUAACCUCUGCCUCCUGAGUGCUAGGGAUUAAAGGUGUGUGUCUGACUUCUAAGGAACCUGGGCAAAAUAUUUUUGUCUACAGUAAAACUUUGUUUUGGCAUGAUAGUCCACAUCCUUUAUAACAAUAUAUUAAAAAGGUCAGUUAUAUACACAUAUACAUACAGACAUAUGUAUAUGUGUGUGUAUGUAUAGAUAGAUGAUAGAUAGAUAGAUAGAUAGAUAGAUAGAUAGAUAGAUAGAUUGAUUGAUUUGGGGAUAAGGGUAUACACUCUGGCAGCCUUAAAUCUUUAGUUUUUACUUACUAAUAGGGUCUCUCUGCAUAGCCCCUGGCUGUCCUAGUAUUCACAUCAUGGACCAGGCUGGCCUCAAACUCACAGAAAUCUGUGUGCCUCUACCUCCAGAGUGUGUGUUAGCAUGCCCAGAUUUCACACACUGAUAAUACCUCCUCAUAGGAGGAGGGAAAGACCUCCUCCAUAAAGUAAAAUCAACGGCGCCCCAUUUAUCCUUUUACUUUCAUCAAACACACACACACACACACACACACACACACACACACACACACACACACACACACACACCACAUACACCCUGAUAACCAAAGAGUUGAGAGACACAGAGUUGUAGAACUUGCUUGUGCAAGUAUCAACUGUUGGAGUCCCCUUCUUCCCAUCUGUUCUUCCAGCUUCUAUUCUGAGUAUGGAACACAUCCUAUCCUUCAGACAAGACUUUAGUCUUUAUCCAGCAUUAAUAUAAAAGGUGUCCACAGAAAAUGAAAUCACACUUUCAAUCGCAGUUUUUUAGCUUGACAAGUAGACCCAGGUAACUGUACUUGAAACCGUUAGAUAUUCUGCAUUUUAAGUCACUCCAUUUUAGAUGUGAUGGAAUUCAAAAUUGUUACAGUAAAAAUAGACUUGUGUGGGGAGGGCCAGUUUGCAUUCAUUCCCACAAAACAGCCUUGGGACAUAAAAAUAUUGACAAUAUAAAUAUCCAAAACUUUCAUAGUGACAUAAUUGAUGUUCUUUUCUUCAUGAGUACUAUUAAAAAUACACAAAUCUAGAAAAUGUACAAGUGUUUAUAUUUUAAAAUACAAUUAAAUACCUACUUCAAAAUUGCACAAAAUACUUUCAGACACGAUUUUUUGGUUGAAUUAAUUUUCCCAGGGCUUUCUUGUCUGUUGUUUGCACUUUAGAGAAACACUAAUUCAACAGCAGCUCAAGGUAGAAGGACAGCAGGCAAACACCAGCCAAGAGCUCCCCUGGGCCCAUGAAAACACACUGUCUUCUAGUAUCUUCACACAUAAAUAAAAAGAAAGAACUCAAGAAAAUUCUUACCCACUGUAAACAUAAUGAUAUGUCCAGAACCAGCAUAACACUUGUAUUAUGCUUUCUUUUUUUUUAAAGAUUUAUUUAUUUAUUUCAUGUAUGUGAGUACACUGUCACUGUCUUCAGAUACACUGGAGGAGGUCAUUGGAUCCCCAUUACAGAUGGUUGUGAGCCACCAUGUGGUUGCUGAGAAUUGAACUCAGGACCUCUGGAAGAGCAGUCAGUGCUCUUAACCACUGAGCCAUCUCUCCAGCCCCUGUAUUAUGCUUUCUGCACUCAAAUCUUUAACACCAUCUGCUUGAUUCUCAGAAUAACUCUAUAGAAUUAAAUAAAUGAGUCUGGUAGGCUCAUUUUAUAAACCAGAAAAAAGCAGGCAAAGGUAGCUUAGAGAUAUGUUCUCUGAUUCUUUCCUUAGUGUUCUUUAUACAAACCACUUUGCUUUUCACACACAUUAAGUCAUUAUGGCUUAAGCAUAAGAGCCUUACAGUGUCAAAAAUGCCAGGUUCAUUGGGUAAUUAGAUAUACUUCGCAAUGUAUAGCAUAGAACAGAUAGACAUAUUAUAAAACACUGUGAUAAAAUGUCCUUUCCAUGCCUAUUCAAGCAGUAAGUUAAAACUUUUAAUCCCAGCA